rnacentral:lncRNA from 1 species
AACAUAUUCCCAAUUUCCAGGGAUUAGGACACAUGGGUGCGUAGGGGGCAGCUAUUAUUCUGCUCAUCACAGGAUCUUUAUCUAUCUAGGAAAAGGAAAGGUCAGGAAAGUUUUUUUUUUUUUUUGAGAGAUUGAUAUUUACAUCGAAGCUUAAAGAAUAGAUGGGAGUAAGCUAGGUGAAGAGAAAACAGGGAUACAGGUGAGAAUGCAGGACAGCACAGCAAGUUGGAGGCUGUUAUGAUAGUUAAGAUGGGAAGAGAUAGGCUUAGACAAAAAUAACGGUAGUGGAAUUGGAGAGAAAGGAAUGGACUCAAGAUAGCAAUAAUUCACUUUCAAACUGAAAUGAGACCGCAUUAUCUUCAGCUAGUUGUAUUUUUUUUAAGGACACCUAUGGAGUGUUCUUGUUUUCAAGACUCUGAAAGCUGACCCUAGAAGAAUCGAAUAGUUAGGAUCCUCUCCAAAGAAGUUAUUGCAGACACUCCUAGAUGCAGAACAAAAGGUCUAAUAUUCUACUGCAUGGAUCACGGCUGAAGACAGAUUUGAAGAAUAAUUUGCACUGUUAGUUUGAUGGCUAACACACAGCUAAGAUCUCCCUGAUAUUUGAGGGGUUGCGUUCUUAAAUUCAACGGUUGUUGGCAUAUCCACAGCUUGAGACUUCAGUUGUUUGGAAAGCAGAAGGAGAGCAAUUCUGAUCCUCUAAGGAACCUGGAUUUAACAUGUUAUCAAAAUAGUGCCAUACUCAGGUUACAUUUCAAAUCUGAACUCGCCAUACCCCUUAAAACUAAGAUCUAUAGUCUAUAGUCUAGCAGAUAAUAGGAGCUUUCUACAUACUGUCCUUUAAAUUUACACCACAGCUGCAAAGUAGGUGUUAUCUCAUUUUCGGAUGUGGAAAUGGAAGCUCAAAAAUAUUUUAAAAGCUUGCUAAAAAUUGCAUAACUAUUAAGACAGGAUUCAGUUAGGUCUCUGGCUCCUUCUGUUAUUCUCUGUUGCUUCCUCUUUAAGGUAGCCAAUAGCGAUAAAACAAUGAAGAAAAUGAAGUAGGAGCUAGAGUAUCUAAAAUUAAACAGCAUUCCUUCCAUGUCUGGCAAUAUGAAGUUUGCCUUCUCUUAAUGUCAGUUGUGUUCAAUCAAGUUUUCACAUUCAUCAAAUUUCCAUCCUCCUAGGUCUGGUUCUGGUAUUCUUCAUGCAUUGUAAGAGCUGUAUUGAAAAACAAAUAGAACCUAAAAAUCUCUCUCUCGUCUUUGUCAUAGCUAUUACUUCUCCUUGGUAGAGUCAGUAUAUUCAUUUCUUAUGGAAAUAAACACCUCUAGUCCAAUCAUUGAAAAUGGUUUGAAAGCAGUGGUUUCUUUGACCUUUGAAGGCCUCUAUGAGACUGCUUUUUAAUAGAACAGCUGCUGAAGUUUUGGGCUUUAUUUGCUACAGCAGCUAACAUUAUACUAAUUUAUAUGCCUCCCCUUUAAUAAUGCAUUUGAUUUUGUUUCUUUUGACUAUAAAAAAGAGAUCCCUACUUAGGUUGCUUGAAAAAAAAAAAGAAGACUUUUUCCUCUGUGGACUGAAAUCAUGACAGG